rnacentral:rRNA from 1 species
AUUGAACGCUGGCGGCAGGCCUAACACAUGCAAGUCGAGCGGCAGCGGGAAAGUAGCUUGCUACUUUUGCCGGCGAGCGGCGGACGGGUGAGUAAUGCCUGGGAAAUUGCCCAGUCGAGGGGGAUAACAGUUGGAAACGACUGCUAAUACCGCAUACGCCCUACGGGGGAAAGCAGGGGACCUUCGGGCCUUGCGCGAUUGGAUAUGCCCAGGUGGGAUUAGCUUGUUGGUGAGGUAAUGGCUCACCAAGGCGACGAUCCCUAGCUGGUCUGAGAGGAUGAUCAGCCACACUGGAACUGAGACACGGUCCAGACUCCUACGGGAGGCAGCAGUGGGGAAUAUUGCACAAUGGGGGAAACCCUGAUGCAGCCAUGCCGCGUGUGUGAAGAAGGCC